rnacentral:rRNA from 1 species
GACGAACGCUGGCGGCGUGCUUAACACAUGCAAGUCGAACGAAGAGCGAUGGAAGCUUGCUUCUAUCAAUCUUAGUGGCGAACGGGUGAGUAACGCGUAAUCAACCUGCCCUUCAGAGGGGGACAACAGUUGGAAACGACUGCUAAUACCGCAUACGAUCUAACCUCGGCAUCGAGGAUGGAUGAAAGGUGGCCUCUAUUUAUAAGCUAUCACUGAAGGAGGGGAUUGCGUCUGAUUAGCUAGUUGGAGGGGUAACGGCCCACCAAGGCGAUGAUCAGUAGCCGGUCUGAGAGGAUGAACGGCCACAUUGGGACUGAGACACGGCCCAGACUCCUACGGGAGGCAGCAGUGGGGAAUCUUCCGCAAUGGUCGAAAGUCUGACGGAGCAACGCCGCGUGAGUGAUGACGGCCUUCGGGUUGUAAAGCUCUGUUAAUCGGGACGAAAGGCCUUCUUGCGAAUAGUUAGAAGGAUUGACGGUACCGGAAUAGAAAGCCACGGCUAACUACGUG